AGAAGGCGCCCACCCCCGCAAAGGGAAAGCCGCAAGGGCAAGACCUCGGGGCGCCUGGGGCCCCCCUCUGGCGCUAUACCUCCGUGCCAACUCGGGGUAGGAGAGCGGGGCGGAGCGCAGCCUGGGUCACUCUGGUUCAGAGAAGCGGACGAGGGAUCCUAGUCUGAGAAAAGGGGAGGAAGCCCUUCCCCGAAGCCACGCUACCCAGUCAAUCAAGACACGUCCGCGUCGGGUCCCGCCCUCUGGGGGAGGAUUGACAAGGUCUGUGCUUCCAGCCUCCCAGACAGCUCCUGCAUCCGUCUGUGAUAGCGAGGGCUUGGGGGAAGACACGAAGGCAGGAGAGGCUUACAUCCUCUGGAUUUCCCCGUCUUAUCCCAGAAGACAAAGCCAGGUGAGGGCUGGAAGCGGGCUAGGGGGAUCAAGCUGCCUCCCUCCCUUGUGUGCCAGGGGUGGUCCCCAGAAGGAGCUGAUCUGAACAGGCCGGAGAGUAGGACCGGCCGUCACACCCCCACACCUCCAGCCUCGUCGACUGUGGAAAAAAAAGGAGCAUUUUGUAAAGUACAUGGCAGGUUGGGGUUGGCUGGCUCAAAGGGCUUGGGACGGAUGUGGUGAGAUGGGCUGAAGGUGGUCUGAAGAUCAAGAUUGAGAGACUAGAUACAUAACAACCAACUGCAAUGUUUGGUCCUUCAUUGAAUGGUUGAACAAACCAGCUGUGAAAGACAUUUUGGGACAUACAGACAUGGACUGAGAAUUAGACAUAAGAAAAUUAUUUUGUUAACUGUUAUCAUGGUUAACAAAACGGUCAUAUAAUAUGAUUAUGUAGAGAAGUUACUCUAGUUUUUCCUCUUUUUUUUUCUUUAUUCUCCUAUCAGCCAAUGCAUUUGUUACAGGAAAGGGGUCCCAAUCCAGACCACAAGAGAGGGUUCUUGGAUCUCAUGCAAGAAAGAUUCAGGGCGAGUCGCAGUGCAAAGUAUAAGCAAGUUUAUUAAGAAAGUAAAGUGGUGAAACAACAGCUGCUCCAUAGACAGAGUAGGAUGUUCCCCAAAGUAAGAGGAGGGGCUAGGCGCAGUGGCUCACCACACCUGUAAUCCCAGCAUUUUGGGAGGCCUAGGCAGGUGGAUCACCUGAGGUCAGGAGUUCGAGACCAGCCUGGCCAACACGGUGAAACCCCGUCUCUACUAAAAAUACAAAAAGUAGCUGGGCACAAUGAUGUGUGCCUGUAGUCCCAGCUACUCAGGAGGCUGAGGCAGGAGAAUCACUUGAACCCAGGAGGCAGAGGUUGCAGUGAGCAGAGAUCGUGUUGCUG
rnacentral:lncRNA from 10 species